GUCUACGGCCAUACACCCUGAACACGCCCGAUCUCGUCUGAUCUCGGAAGCUAAGCAGGGUCGGGCCUGGUUAUUAUACUUUUGAUAUAUUUGUAUUCUUUGUAAUAAUUUCAGUGUCAGUAGCAC
rnacentral:rRNA from 1 species